rnacentral:tRNA from 1 species
GAGGGUAUAGCUCAAGUGGCAGAGUGCACACUUAGGAGGCACGAGUUCCUGGGUUCAAUCCCCAGUACCUCCU